rnacentral:rRNA from 1 species
UACGUAGGGGGCAAGCGUUGUCCGGAUUUAUUGGGUUUAAAGGGUGCGUAGGCGGCCCCGUAAGUCAGUGCUGAAAUCUCCCGGCUUAACCGGGAGGGUGGCAUUGAUACUGCAGGGCUUGAGUAAAGUUGAGGUAGGCGGAAUUGACGGUGUAGCGGUGAAAUGCUUAGAUAUCGUCAAGAACACCGAUAGUGUAGACAGCUUACUAAGCUUUAACUGACGCUGAGGCACGAAAGUGUGGGGAUCAAACAGG